CUCUGUAGAUCAGAUGAUAAAGAAUCUGCCUGCAAUGCAGGAGACCCAGGUUCGAUCCCUGGUCCAGAAG
rnacentral:tRNA from 1 species